AGAUUUCAGUUUUUUUCAAUUUUUUUUUGUAGUUUUAUUUUUUUAAUUUUAAUUAUAUUUUCAUGGUUUUAUUUAAAGUUUCGCCAUUUUAUUCUAUCUAUAUUUUUCAUGGUUUUUAUUUGAUCCACUUUGUUUUCUAUGAAAGCCGAGGUGGUUUUAUUUUUAAUUUUAAUUUUUAGUUAUGUUCUAACGUAUAUGUAAUAUUUGUCAAUAUAAGUGUAUCGCCAGAUUUAUUAUAAACCGUUCUUGAAGAGUUUUAUCAUAAUAUAUCAUAGUGAUGGUGAUGGAUUCAAGAUAAUGCGGAG
rnacentral:lncRNA from 1 species